GGAGGAAAAGAAACUAACAAGGAUUCCCCUAGUAACGGCGAGUGAAGCGGGAAGAGCUCAAAUUUGAAAUCUGGCAGUCUUCGAUUGUCCGAGUUGUAAUCUAUAGAGGCGUUUUCCGUGCCGGACCGUGUCCAAGUCUCCUGGAAAGGAGUAUCAAAGAGGGUGAUAAUCCCGUACUUAACACGACCACCGGUGCUCUGUGAUACGUCUUCUACGAGUCGAGUUGUUUGGGAAUGCAGCUCAAAAUGGGUGGUGAAUUCCAUCUAAAGCUAAAUAUUGGCGAGAGACCGAUAGCGAACAAGUACCGUGAGGGAAAGAUGAAAAGCACUUUGGAAAGAGAGUUAAACAGUACGUGAAAUUGUUGAAAGGGAAACGAUUGAAGUCAGUCGUGUUCUUUGGAUUCAGCCAGUUCUGCUGGUCUACUUCCUUGGAACGGGUCAACAUCAGUUUUGUCCGGUGGAUAAAGGUAGUAGGAAUGUGACUUCUCCGGAAGUGUUAUAGCCUAUUAUCACAUACACUGGGUGAGACUGAGGACUGCAGCUCGCCUUUAUGGCCGGCCUUCGGGCACGUUCGAGCUUAGGAUGUUGACAUAAUGGCUUUAAACGACCCGUCU
rnacentral:rRNA from 1 species